GAAAGAAAGAAAGAAAGAAAGAAAGAGAAAAAAUAGAGACAACUUUCUGUGCUACCCACCUGAGCACUGUCUUCAGCUCUGACAGGAGACUUCAGAGCAAGACCUCUACAGACUAAAGGGUUCAUAAAGGAGUUCACUGAUACCUUGUUGACAAUGGUGAUGAAAUACCCUGACUUGUCAUCCUGGGAGAUUUCAACACACACAUCGACAAGGCUGCAGAUAUGAAGUCCCACAAACUCACCUUCUGGCUUUCCUCCCAAACACUCUCCGGGUGUUUCUACAUCGACAUUUACAGUCAGCCUCAAGGGGUCCCUGUUACAGGCUCUGAGUGGCAUGUGUCACCCUGACAGGAAAUUUCAGUGAGCUGCAUGCAGGGGUUACUGAAGUUCUCUACUUGUGGGCAGUACCAAGAGGUCAGAACCCAGGAUCACAGGGUGUGGUUGUGCUGAAUUCCUCUGCCCAAUGCCUGCAAACAUGCUGAGGAGACGGUGAUAGGAAGAGGGAGAGGAUGAAAGAUGGAGAUGAGCUCCAGCAGGUUUCAUGGUUUUAGCUGUAUUUGGGGGCCACAGUGUAGGUGUUUAUUUGGUAUAAGCAUAAUGAUGAACUUAGGGUUACUUCUCGCCAUCAGCGCCGAUCAUCUCAUUUUAUCCAUGUGCUCUUUGAUUUGAUCUAUACUGAACAAGAAGAGUGUGGACCAGCUGCAAGGGAUGUCUUGGGCCUGGGAUAAGCAAGAUAUUUGGUCCCCACAAGUGGGCCAGAGCAGACAAAAUCAGGCAGGGUUAGCAGAGGAGGUACCAAGCUGGGUGCAGGGGAUGGUAGGAUGAAGGGUUCUAAAGGCAUGUGAAUACUGGUGGGACUCAGGGGACUUCUAGCUCUGAUUUAGCUUUUAUCAGAUUUCCUCCAAGCAUGCCCGUGGAAGAGCAUCACUGCACAGUUGGGCCAAGAUGCUGAGGAUUAGGGAAGUUUCUCCUGCCCUGCAUGAGUCACUUAAGGUUCUUAUCUAGAAGCACCUCAUUCCCUUCACCCUCACAGAGUGCCUCAGAACUGCUGUCCCGCUGGAUUGGAGAGGAGAAAUAAGGAAGCCAUGGCAGGAACCAGGAUAGCAAAGAUGAAAAAACAUCUGUCUUCAUGUAUCUAGUUCUGUCCUUGGUGACAUUGCUUGAGAGGCCAAGGAGACUUCCUGAGCGGCAACAGCAAAGCAGCAAACACCUCUGUAUCCUCUGACAGGGAUACCUCCAGCCAAAGUGGCCAUAGCCAGCAAUUAUGCUGCUAAGAACGAUGCACAAAAGCCCAACGAUUCACUAAAGCCCAAACUGCUGUCAAACCAAGAGUGGGUGGCAUUCUGGGACAUACAUUUGGAUCCCUAAAGCAGAGGGAGGCAACCUGAAGAGAGUGGCUGGGAUGUAACACACAGCUGGACGCUGCAAGCUGACCACAUUUGGAGAUGGAAGGAUGGCUUUGAGGAUGUUUAUCUACCUUCUCCAAGAGGAAAGGCAGCCUUUCAUCUCUGCCCAUUUUGUCAACAUCCUCCAGAAAACAGGAGUCAACUGACAGAGUGACGCUGUCGGAGCACACAGGGACCUAGACAAAUUGAGGCUUUCUGUUGGAGCCCUGGUUCCCAGUUUAGGGAGAUGCUGCUGUCUGGGCUGUUUCUGUGGAUAGGGAGCUGGUCACUGGAUCUCUCAGCAAGGACCCAUUCUUGAGAGUACCAAGGGUGGCUGAGUGUCUCCUCUGGCUUCUGACUUAUUUCCUCCACUGAAAAUCAUGAAACAUCACUGCUAUUCACAAGAGUCUGCCUUCAUGUCUUGGGUUUCCAGAAUUUGAAGCCACAUUGACGUAGCUGUACAAGUGACAAAAGUGCUGUGUGCUGAGAAGAGAAGAGAAGAGAAGAGAAGAGAAGAGAAGAGAAGAGAAGAGAAGAGAAGAGAAGAGAAGAGAAGAGAAGAGAAGAGAAGAGAAGAGAAGAGAAGAGAUCAGAGAAGACCUUAUCAGUGUGUAUAAAUACUUGAAGGGUAAAGAGGACACAUCCAGGCUCUUUCUAGUGGUGCCUGGAGGCAGCACCAGAGGCUAUAGGCCCAAACUAAAACACAGAAGGUUCUCUCUCUUUCUGAAUAUCAGAAAACAGGUUUGCUUACUCUAAGUGUGACCAAUCACUGGCACAGGUUGUGCAGGGAGGUUGUGGGUUGUCUCUCCUUGGAGGUAGCAAGAAGCUGUCAGGACAUGGUCCUGGCAAGCCUGCUGUAGGUGGCCCCUCUUUACCAGGGGGUCGGACCAGGUGAUCUCCAAAGUUCCUUCCAAUCUCAACCAUUGUAUGAUUCUGUAAUGAGUGGAAGAGAAUUAAGACUGCAACGGAGAAGAGCACAUGUAGCCUCAACAAGAGAUUGUUACAUUGAUUGUGGCUUCAAAUCACAAUGGGACAGGUAAUAAAAUAUGCCACAGGGGGAAGAGUAAGGAAACUUAGCCAAGAAUACUCAGAAACUGAUGUAUUCAGUAAAUGGUUUUUAUUGGUAUUGGUGUGGAAUAAGUGUAAAUUGGGUGAACUUGUGUGUGUCCUGUGAAUUAGGCUUUGAAGUUAAAGAAAAUGAAAGCUUUCACUCUUUUUUUUUUUUUUUGAGAAGAAAUUAUUCACUUCUAUACCCAUAAGGUAAAUAAAAUCCUCAUCCUUAACUUUGAAAGAAUGCAAGAUUAAAAACCUGGGAAACAAUCCGCUAUUAAUUGUGAACAGGCACGCAAUUAGUGACAAUUCGAGAUCAAGGCAAUGAACACCUUUAUAAAGUGCUUCUCUAAAAAACUUAGGUGUUGCUAAUUUUUCAGAAUUCCUUCAUAUGGUUACUUUAAGGUUAUGACAAAAAGGUUAAGAAAUAUGAGCUAGGUCUUAGCAAGCCCUUUGGCUUACCAUACAAUAAGCAGUUACUUUUUGAAAACCUGAAAGCACUUAGAAACUACUGGAAUAAGAAGAGAAGAGCACUAGCAAUCCUCAAAAAAGAGAAUAUUGUUAGUAAUUACAAUUUUUAAAGUACUUUAAUCCAAAAUGCAACAUCUGAUAAGGAAAAUAAUCUUUGAACAUCUAGAAGACAGUAAAAUUAUGAUCAAUAACCUGCACUGUUUUGUCAAGACUAAAUGUUGCCAGACAAACCAUUUUAUAGCCUAGACUAAUUAAUGGAAGAAGAAAAUGAGGUAAAUGUUAUACUGAAGGUCAGAGUCUCGGCUGGAGAAAGGAAACAUAACCAUAUUGACUUCAUCAUACUUAUUAAAGCAAGCUGAAGAACAGCAUUUAUACUUCAGAACUGCAUUUCUCUAAGUCUCAUAAAGUUUCAUCCAAAAAAAUUAAAUCAAAUUUUUAAAAAACAUUUCACAUAACAUGAAAUCUGGGUAAAAGUCCACAAAACAGAGCAAUUUGGAAAGCCUUUAGGUGUUGCAAAGAUUGUUGCUAAUAUAUCUUAAUUACUGGCUUUUUUAAUAAUCCAGGAAAGGUCCAAAUUUUAUUAAUGCGGUCUCGUACAUUCUGUAAGCAUUUUGAAAAAAAAAGAAGAAUGAAAACUGUACACCAAGUUAGGGAGAAAAGCUGGGUAAUAAUACAAAACAAUUUGAUAUUUUAAAGGAAAUAAGUUCAAAAAUACUGAUAUUCAGAAUUAAAAAGAAACAUGACAACAGUAGUCCAUUUUUACUGCCUAAAGAUCUAAUCCCAGUUUUGUUUUGUGUGGGUUUUUCAAUUCUGUCUUCUAUGUAUGUGUUUUCAUGUGACUUAUAUAAGUUCAGUAGAAAGGAUUCCCAUGCUUUUCCCUAUAUCAUUAUCUACUAAAAGAAUUACUUGGUGUUGACAUUACAUAGUUACUGACAUAUUUAUUAAAAUUCGUGACUAGAAGUAUUUUGGUACAUAGAAUAAUAAAGAAUAAUCUUUUACUACAAGAGAAGAGGUAAGAUUUAGAUGUGGACAAUCAAAGGGAAAAUGAAAGAGCAGAGACACAAUCCUGGCCAGCCCGAUAAGCAGUGAUUUUGGUGGAAGUGAUGUGGAUCUGUUUUUUAUUAAUUUCAUCUUGAGUAUAUGCUUCUUCUCUCAGAUCAGUGUUGGUCAGAAUUUACUCCCAAGGUGAGAUUUUUCCAGCAAUGUGCUGCAUGAGCACUCAGUCAUACCUUGGACAUUACUCAGCCCAGGGUCUGGAGCUCUGUAGAGGCAAAUCCAAGUACAGUCAUAUACUGCUGAGAUGAUGCAAUAACACAAACAAAAUCAGUUUACGAAGCUCCUUAGGAUCAGGACAAUUUAGUUAUAUUAGGUUGCUCUUUGUGCAAGCCCACAAAAUCAUACAGGUGGAAAGGGUGCAGACUGUGCCAUCUCUGAUAUUUCAGAGCUCUCUUGGUUUCUCAGGUAGAUGGCAUUAGAUUCCCAAGUGCUCCCAUAAAGCCAAUGAUUUUUGAUAUAAAAAGUGGUUACUUUUCUUGGCAGCACCAAUAGGAACAUCAGAAGAAGGACUUGCUGUCAUUGUGUUGCAGGCAUAGCUAAGCAUAAACAAAGAAGGGGCAGCCUCAUCUGCCUGGAUGUUUGUGAGAAAAUAAUCAGAAAUAUUUUUUACUGGAAACUCCUGUGUCCAGAGCUGCAUAAGGGUUAUGUGCAGUACUACUGUUCACAUGCUACAGUUUGUAGUGAGAAUAUGGGGCAAUUAUGAAAGUGAAAUUUGCUUUCUCUGCAAUGUGUGCAACAUUUAUUUGAAGUGAAUUGUUCCAGGGAACAUAUUUGCCAAGAAACUCUUUCAGGAGAUAAUUUAAGGAAAAUGAGCACCAAAGAAUGGAAAUUAUGGGAUUGAAUUCGCUUAAUUCAAAUGGAAAAUGUCUUCAUGGUUUUUACCCAGCAGGUAAUGCAUAUGCUUAUUGCAUUAUAGAAAUUACAGAGCUAGUUAAAUUAUUUCACUAUUUCUGACAUUCUGAAGAUCUUUCCACUCCUUAUGAUCUGAAAUUGAUACUUUUUCUGCUUAUUUUUACAAUGUAUUUCCAGAGAGUUUUGCCAGAAUUUUUAUGAUAUAAUUUUAGAAAAUUCAUGUUUACUGAUAAUCUAUUUUCUUCCUGAAAGUAGGGAAAAUAAUGAAAGCAGCAAUGUUCAAUUACAUUUAAAAAAUAUUGACAUAUGCAUUUGCCAAAAUUUUAAUAGGAAGUGCUGAUACUGCUUGAAACAUUCCCCUUGUAAAAGUGUAGACCAUUUUUUCAACAACAUAAUGGCACAGGAUUUGCUGAGAGCUGUCAUAAAUCAUAGAAUUGUGGAAAAAUUCAGGCUAGAUCUCUGGCGGUGUUGUAGCCAGCCUUCAGCAGAAAGCAAGGCUAGCUUUGAAGUUAGAUCAGGUUGCUCAGUCUUGUCCAGUUGCAUUUUGAGUACCUCUAGGGAUGGAGAUGUCACGAUUUCUGUGGUCAACUUGUGCCAGUGCUCAACCACCAUCACUGUAAAAAUUUUUCUUUACUUCUGAUCAGGGCCCAAAUUGGGACACAUUAUUCCAGAUGUAUCUUCACAGGUCCUAAGAGAGGAAUAACCAGUUUCCCCAGAACACUGCCUACACUUCUGCUAAUACAGCUCAGUAUGUGCACAGCUCUCAUUCCCAGAGCUGGGAUCAGCAAGAUCCAUAUCCACAAAGGAAUGCUCCGGCUGGUUGACUCCAGUCUUGUGCUGAGCAUGGUGGGCAGAUCCUAUCCAGGUGCAGGACUUUGCAUUCCUCUUUGUAGCAUUUUAUGGAGUUCCUUCUGACCCAUUUCUCCACUUUGUCUGGGUCCUUGGGUGACAUCCAGUGUAUCAGCUACUCCCCCCAGUUUGGUGCCACCAAGAGACUCUCUGAGGGCUCAUUGCAUUCCCCUGUUCAGGUUAUUGAUGAGUUCAACAUCUGUUAAUCCAUGCUGGCUGUUCACAGUUGUUGUCUUUAUUUUCACUUGCACUAAAAUGACCUGCAUAAAGACUUACUCCUUAAUUUUUUCAAGAACUGAGGAAAGAGUGACUAUCUUUUAGCUGCCUGGACCCUCUUUGUCACUUGUUUUAAAAAAUACCUUUUUUGUUUUACUGCAGACCCAAAGAGGCAGUCCUCCCCAAGGACACCUCUUCUCCAUGGAGACAUUUGGGCAGAAGAAUCACAUAUCAUGAAAAUAAUCAAGUCUGUCCUCUCCAACCUAAAAAUAUUCUGCUUCCUUGGGGGAACCGGGACUUCAUGGGGCACAGCUCUUCAGUGUCCCCAGACACACCAGUGCUGUCUAUUAAUCAUGACUUUCUUUUUUCUGACGCAGGCUUCUCUGUCUGUCUGUCUGCAAACGUAUGCUCAGGUGUAGGAACAGGCUGAGCUUUGGAGCUGUUUAUGAGAACCUAAACACGUCUGGCACCUUUGCACAGGACAAAGACCUUGUUCACUGAAGCAGACUGUGUAGAGGAAGGACCAAACAUUCCCACUAGGUCUGCUGAUCCAUGGCCCAAACAUGGCUAUUCCUCAGCACUUCAUGUAAGCUCCAAGUCUAGGCCACAUUUGAAGAAAUAUCCAGUGAGAAAGACAGAAAUUAUGAGGGUGAUGGGCUCCCACCCACUGUCAGAGGGGUAGGGUGAGGUGAAAUGGGCAGUUUCUCAUUCCUCUACAGUCCAGGGGGAUGUGAUGGGCUUGCUGUGUUGUAUGGAGUAGAAGAAAAGGUUGUGGAAUUAGUCAGGCUUUGCUUGUUCCAUGUACUCACUGCGAAAGAAAUGCUAAAAUAACAACUAACGGGUCUCGUAAAAGAAAACAUGUUGUUUGCUUUCUCAGAGACUCUAGGUGACUUUAGGCAAAAUCCGUGGAGAGGGGUUAGCAAUCAGGCUAUAAAAAUGUUACAGCUCUAGCUUUGUUCCGUGCUUUUCUAUGGCUGAACACACUCUCACACCUGAUCUCAGCCAGCUUGAUCCAUAAACUAUUCAGAUAACAAAUAUUGUAUCUUCUCAAAUCAGAAUUGCAGCAACUCCUCUUUUCAUCAAAUAAUCAUUCAGGAAUGAAGGGGACUUUGACAUCAGAGGGGACUUUCUGUGCCACGACAUCCUGUCUGGGCUCUGGGAACUCCUGUUUCCCUGUGAAAACGAAGGUGGAUGAGUGCUUGCUCCAAACACACUGCUGACGGCAGGGCUCAGCCUAGCAGCUCCCAACAGAGCCUGGGUAGAAAGUGGCAUUACCUCAUAUGUCACAGUGAUAUUUUAAAAGGUUGCAUAAUUACUCUGACUACUGCACUCGGACUGGAUGACAAGACUAUGAAAACUGAAAUGUGAUCCAGAAACUGGAUUUUUUUUCUUUCUUUUUCCCCUUGUAGUCUGGGGGUGCACUGCAGCCUGAAUGGUUACAUGAGAAGGAAAGUCAGUGAGGAAGGGGAGAAAUAGGUAAUUCCAGACCCACCCUUUCUGCUGUUGCUCAAGGCUCAAAGGAAGGGCAUACAGCCACCUGAUUUCUAUCAUUCCUGAUUUCCAUGACGGCCCUCACUAAUGGUGCCCAGCACAUUGCAGAGGUGUUUUGGCACAAGACAGCUGUUUCCCAGCUGUGGUGUCAUGGAGGAAAGACCAAGCAUUGCCCAAAAGCACUGUGCACCUGAGGCAGCUCCUACCAGAUGUUUCAUGACAACAGAGGACAGCAACAUUCACCAUGUUAGAAACCCCUCUGCCCUUUUUGAGGUGGUGCCUACUAAUAUUUCCCUGAGAAGGCACUUUUUGGAGUGUAAUGAUGCCUGUCCUGCUGCUGAGGAUUGCGAUCUGUGUUUGGAGGGACACAAGAACCUGGUCCUACCUGACCUCCACAGGCUUGGUACCUGCCUGGGACAUGUAACAGUCUCACUGAGUGAUGGGCCCCAAAUUAAAAUACAAUGAGGUUGUGAAAAGUACAAUCAGUUCAGUGCAAAGCAGAUGUCCUUGACUUCAAAGAGAAUAAGGAAAAAAAGGUUUUUGUUAUUUCAUAAUAGAUAUUUGCAUUCAGCCUUUAGACUGAGAAGUACAUUAUCUGAUCCAGACUAAUCUGCUGGUUUUGGGACCUCAAAGAACCAUGGUUAAGAUGAGCACACAUUGAAGCAUGUGAGGAUCUACUGAGUGGUCUCAGCUUUUGCACAGAGUUUGUAGAACAGAGAUGAAAAAUGAGUUUCAAGAAAGGCAUUUCUCACAGGCACACAGAAAGCCCUUUAAGUGUGGACUGCACUUACACACAGAAAAGAGACCGCAUUAAAAAGGCAUUUAAGCCCCUGAAAGUCUUUUUGAUUUCUGACUUCAAAGGAGCUCCCUCACAGAACUGUACCUGCAGUAGCUGCCUUCUGAUCAUAUGGUCGGGCAUGAGGGAAAUUCAGCUGAUUUCUCCCUCAGCUAUACAAUGAAGCAUGUUAAAAAACAUGAAAUUGGAAUAUUCUGUUGGGGUUUUAAUCUUUUUAUGCCAAACAAAUGGAUUCUUUAUUUUCCACUCUAUCUAUUAGAAAUGCAGACAGUGAUGUAUGAAAUUAAUUUGGAAGUUAGAUGUUAGUAAGGUUAAAUUUUAAUAUUUUUCCAGGGAUGGGGUGAGCAAUUAGGACUCCUUAGUGCCUUAACCAAAGUAAAAAGACAACUACUCCUGAGCUAAUUUGGAAAAAAAGAGUCUGUUUUCCCAGACAUCUAAAUAAAGUGGAAAUGAGUCAAAUGAGGGUAGCAAGGAGGGAUUGGGUAAAUAACCAAGUUAUAAGUUUGUUGCUGAUCUGCAAAGUAAUUGAAAUAAAUAACUAAAAUGCAGAUUGUGUUCUGUUCUUCCAACAUUAGGAUUUUUAAUUUGCCAUAGAGAAAAGGCAUUAAAAAAAAACCCCUAAACUUUGGGAUAAAAAGUCACAGAAAGUUUGUUACUCAGAGUUCUGAGGUAAAAGCCAAGAAAAUUAAAUUAAUAAAGUUGGCAGCAGCUUGUACUUCUCUUUGCCUUGAAAGGAACCCCUGGUUGCUCCUCUGCCCCUGUUGCAAGGAAGUGUCGGAUGUGCUGCUGCAGGCGGCUCUGCCAGCUCCGCUCCUGGCCUCAUCCUCACCCCUGGCUGUGCUCUCCUCCUUGGAGCAUCCUGAGUCCCACCCGUGGGGUACUGGCAGAGAGAAACUGAGAGGGACCAACAACAGGCUGAGUGACCACUGUCCUCCAAAGGGACUGGGGGCUUUAGCUCAAGCCAGUCAUUUCAUCAGAAAGGAUGCUUAACUCGCAGACUCUGCAGCACCAUCCACGAGAAUCCAGGAGAGCAGAAACACAUCAGCACUGACUUGUGGCCAGUGUUUCUUUCUGGAAUGCAAGUGCAGCUCCUUGAGCCAUAGGAAGAAAUCAAACCUACAUCUUCCAUUUUUUGGCUGAGGGUAUUAAUUUUGUGUUAUUGGAUGGAAAGUUAACUACAACUAAUUUUAUUUACACGACCUUUGUUUACAUGACCUCAAUUGUAAGUACCCAGAAAGUUAAAUAUUUCAAAAUGUGAAGGGCUUAUGCUCAGUAAGUGUCUAAACAAACUGUUUCUGAUAGAUUAACUCCUCCUCCCUGCCCUGCCCCCCGCAGUCUUAAUUUGUUUUGGCAAAACCAGUUUGUUGAAUUUGUUCAAACUUCAGAGAAUGAUCAGCCAACCUGAAAUAUGUUUUCUGACUAAUGAUUUACCAAAAGAAAUUUACUGUCCUCUUCCCAGGAGGCAUAUCAUUCAUUUGGAAGUUCAUGGUAAAUUUUCCUUUUUUCCUUUUUCUCCUUUACAGUAGAUUUGAGCUUCCUCAGGAGACAGGUGGCUCCCUUUUGCCUUGCCUGUGAUUUGGCCUUUCAAAGAGGGAGAUUGCUAGCCUCCUGCUUUGCAUGGGAUCAGUAGACCAUGCUUUUUGCUCUGCCUCAUGCAGAGAAGGGGGCUGCUGUCAGCACUGGGGGACUGUGAGGGCAGUCAAAGGGAGCCUGAAACCACGAGGGCUGCAAAAUCAGUGUCCAGUUAGUGUCUUGCCUGACUUUGCAUGCUGUGUUUGGGCAGAUCUGAAAGCAGGCAAAGGGGAUUUGAUUACCUCUGAUUUGCACCAUCCUCGAGCACAUUAGGCAGCUGACAGAACCAAUUUGGAUCCAUGACUCCUUGCUGCAGAAGUUUUAGGGAAUGGGCUGAGAAAAUAUAAAGCCCUUCCAAGACUUGGUUCUUCGUGGUACUCCUCUAAACCUGCCUAACAGUUUGUUUAAAUUAACCCCCUCUGGGCACCACCACAAACUUUCAGUGUUGUCACAGUGCUGAUGUAGCUGCAGGAGGGUAUUUUUCCAGGGGAGUUUGCAAUGAAGAAGAAUUCAAGACAGAGCAAUGGUGAAAAGUUUCCUGGGUCUCUCCCCUCACAGCUGAAGUGGAGCCCAGCCCAGGCAAGGGGCUAGCAGAGGGAGGGCAAUCUAAGCAUAACAUGGAGCACUGUGGGGUGCUGGGGAGAACACCAUCUCCUGAUGUGGUAGCUUUCCCAUGUACCAUGUAACACGAGGGCAGGGAUCUUGCCAGUCCCAUGCUGAGCACCAUAUGUGAGCUGGGUUACAUUCAUUCAGCUGCUGAUUGCAGAAAGCCUCCCGGGAAAGUGGGUGGUUAUCUUUAAAAUGAUCUUCAUCCAGCAGAGCAAGGCUUUGGUUCAGUUUUGCUAGUGUGGAGCACUCCCAUAAUUUUGAAUCAUAUCAGGAUUUGAUUGUGAGUUUAAAUAUAUGUUGUGAAUAUUCAAGUUCUGUGCAAACAAAGACCAGACAGAGGCCAAGACAAGCUGACGCAUGAGCAGCCAUGUUGUUCCCUCUCUGGGCCAAGAACUGGAUUCCUUCACAAAACUGUCUGUGUUGCAGUGAUAAAAAGGUGAAUAUUUGACAUAGUUAAAUAGAUAACACCCUGAUGCCCCAGUAAAAAAAGUGAAUUAAUGGUUAUGAGGAGACUCUAUAAAGUGGUUGCUUGCAGCAACAGUGAGUUGGCUGUGGUGCCCCAGAGAGCACCUUCCAGCUUAAUUUUAUUGUUUGCUGGUACAGAUCCAUGAGGAGGUAUUCACUGGGUUUUGGGUUGCUAUUUUGUUUAUAGAAAAUCUCGCCUACCCCUUGCUAUAUAAUGCACUCAAUGUGUUGGAACUAUGCUUGAAAGAGCAGAUCUGGGUCAUAGUGUCUCUCUCUUUUCCAUCAGACCGAAUUGUCAUGCUCCUAUUUGAACUGACUGGAUUAACAAAGUCUGUGCAGCUACCUGUGGAACAAGCAGCACUGAGUGCCCUGCCUUUGUCUCCCCUGAGACACUGUGAAGCAGUGCCACAACUCGGUGGUGGUGAUGAUGUAGCAGCCACCGACACUGCUACACUUUCCUGCUGAGACCAAGGGCCCACCACAGAAGUCAUGCUGGUGUUCACUGGGAUGCAAGAGACUGAAAACUGAUCAGGCCUUGAAUCUCUGCAGGCUGGGUAGUUCAUACAAUAUUAAUUAAAAGCUCAGAUGGGAUAGUUUGCCUGUGUAAGUCCAGUUUAAAAAGUGAAAUAGAUGGAAUGUCUGCAAACUGGCAUAUCAGACUCCUUCAGCAGUGUCCAGAGUCCCUGUCCCACCUGCAGGAUAGCUUGUUCUUACACCAUGAACUUGAUUUGUUAGCAUGUCUGCUGUCAAAAGGUCUGUUUCUUAUUUUUGUUGAGUUAUACCUUAAAUGUGUCUUUUUUUGGCUACUUACACUCUCGUUUCUGCACAGCGGCAGCCAAGCAGGGGCCCAAUUCCUGGCCCUCGGAUUUAUUCCCAUUGCUUUGAUGGGCUGAGUCUGGUGCAGCCUGUAUCACAGAGCACCUGGAUGGGCUGAUUGCAGACAUUUGCUGGCACUGCAGUCUCAGCUGUGGAAACAAUUUUGCUGGCAGUGGAAGCCCAGUUUUCUGGGGAGGGGCCCAUAUUUCUGGUUUGAAAUGUGUGAAGUCUCACCAGAGCUCUGCUAUCAGAGCUGCUGGAAAUUUUCCCCUCACUCUCUUGGUCUACCUUCUCUCGACCAUCCAGGUCUUACUUCUGCUUCUUCUCAAAAUCCCUGAUAUAUGUUUUCUGGCUUCUUUUGCUGUAAUCUCUCCCCUCAGUUUUUCUUCAUGCAUUAGUUCUUCCUUCACUGCAUUUCUCCACUGUCUCUUCCAUUUUAUCUGCCUUUUUUCUUAAUUUCUCAGGCCUCUCCUGUUUUUCUUCUCAUGUCCACAUUUUGGUCUUUUCUCCAGAAGCUCCAUGAAUGACAGCCUCAGUAAUGGAGCACAUUCCUUGAAAAGGCCUUGUCUCAGAGCUCAGAGCAGCAGUAGUGAGAUGCAGGUCCAGAUGGUAUUGCUGCUGUUGUUUAUGAACAAGGCAUGCUAGGGACCCAUGGUGUCAAGCAUUGUGCAGCUGGGCAGGAAAACACAGCUCUUGUGCCACAAGUCCUCAUGCCCGCCACAGGACUAAAGGGGUUACAGCCUCAAUCACCUGCAACUGAGGCAUAUGGAAAAUAGGGAUACAUUUACCAAACUGUUUUAGCACAUAAAGUUGUGAACACACUUUUUCUCCCCAGUCUGAUAUCCUUAUGCAUGUUAACUGUCUUAAUUAAAUUCAACCAAUUAAUUUUACUGGGGUAUAGGAAUGACAUCCAUGUAGAAAACCCAGAAAAACUUGCUCUUGGUGUCCAAGUCAAGGGCAGUCUGAGAGUUCAAAAUCAUCAAUUUCUCUCCACAGUGUCAUGGUGGGAAAGUAAAACUCACAGGAAUCAAGGGCAAGGAGAGAGAAGAGUGAGAGAAAAAACAAGAAAACUUUGUAGUCUGUGCUCACCACCUGACUCUGGCUCACGGACCUGGAAUGCCUGUUUUCCUUGAGGCAUGGCUGGAGCUGAAAAACGCAGCAAAGUCCUUGUAUUCUGUGAUAUUCCAGUACAGUGCUCAUGAAAUUCUGUGUCAGCCUCACAGAUGUAUAGAGGCAGAAGACUGUAAAGAUCUAAGCAUGAAUGUAAUGACUUAUAUUCUUCCCUUUUAUAUUGCUCAUGUUUAGACUUAAGGUUUGAUGUCAUCUCCUGGUUAGUAGGUUUUGAUGUGCCACAGGCUUUUCUAUCAAUAUAUGGUUGUAUUGUUUCCUGUGACUUGGAGGUCAAGUUGGCCAAGAGAUAAGCAAACCGGUAAAGUUUAAGAGCAGUGAAAUGGUUAUUUUGAUGAUACUUAACUUGCCAAAUACUUAAUAAGCACAGGUAUUGUACUCAGGAGUGGAACAGGGCAGUGGGAUCUCCUCUAGCUUUCCAUUCAGGAUGCCUGCAGAACCAGGAAGGUGGUGCAUCAGUUUGCAAUUGGCUUGGUAAUCUUUCAUGGGGCCUGUUUGUGUCUCUUGUGCUGAAGGCUGAAUGUAAAAUGAACAUUGUUAGCCAAGAAAGCAAAUAAAGGGAACUAUUUCCCAAGGCA